rnacentral:rRNA from 1 species
AGUGAACGCUGGCGGCGUGCCUAAUACAUGCAAGUCGAACGAAGUGGCGCACGGGUGGGUAAUAUAUAGUUAAUCUGCCCUACGCAGGGGAACAACAGUUGGAAACAGCUGCUAAUACCUCAUAGUGUAGGAUGAGAGUAUAUCGUAUCAGCUAGUUGGUAAGGUAAUGGCUUACCAAGGCUAUGACGCGUAACUGGUCUGAGAGGAUGAUCAGUAACCUUGUAAGUGAGGCACGGGUCGGAAACCUACGGGAAGGAGCGGUAAGGAAUAAUGCGCAUGCGGGGUGUACCAGGCGCGCCAACGCGUCGUGAAGGAUGUCACUUUUCGGGGAGUAAACUCCUUUUAUCAGGAAAGCGGUACCUGAUGAAUAAGCACCGGCUAACUCCGUGCCAGCAGCCGCGGUAAUUC